UACGAAGGGUGCAAACGUUGCUCGGAAUUAUUGGGCGUAAAGCGCACGUAGGCGGCUUUGCAAGUCCCAUGUGAAAUCCCUCGGCUCAACCGAGGAAGUGCUUUCGAAACUACUGGACUUGAGUACUGGAGAGGGUCGCGGAAUUCCCGGUGUAGAGGUGAAAUUCGUAGAUAUCGGGAGGAACACCAGUGGCGAAGGCGGCGACCUGGACAGAUACUGACGCUGAGGUGCGAAAGCGUGGGGAGCAAACAGG
rnacentral:rRNA from 1 species